AUGAACGCUGGCGGCGUGCCUAACACAUGCAAGUCGAACGAAGCGCCUGGCCCCGACUUCUUCGGAACGAGGAGCCUUGCGACUGAGUGGCGGACGGGUGAGUAACGCGUGGGCAACCUGCCUUGCACUGGGGGAUAACAGCCAGAAAUGGCUGCUAAUACCGCAUAAGACCGAAGCGCCGCAUGGCGCGGCGGCCAAAGCCCCGGCGGUGCAAGAUGGGCCCGCGUCUGAUUAGGUAGUUGGCGGGGUAACGGCCCACCAAGCCGACGAUCAGUAGCCGACCUGAGAGGGUGACCGGCCACAUUGGGACUGAGACACGGCCCAGACUCCUACGGGAGGCAGCAGUGGGGAAUAUUGCACAAUGGGGGAAACCCUGAUGCAGCGACGCCGCGUGAGGAUGAAGUAUUUCGGUAUGUAAACUUCUAUCAGCGGGGAAGAAGAUGACGGUACCUGACUAAGAAGCCCCGGCUAACUACGUGCCACAGCCGCGGGUAAUACGUAGGGGGCAAGCGUUAUCCGGAUUUA
rnacentral:rRNA from 1 species